rnacentral:lncRNA from 1 species
UUUCUUGCGUGUAUCGUGUGACAACGUGAAUUUUUUUUUUUUUAAAUAACUCUUAAAAGAAAAGAUAAAUGUAAUAAAUUUAAGUAUCCACCCAAAUAGUGAGAUUAGACUCUAUACGAGUUAUGAAUUUUUUUUAUAAAUACAAGUUGGGAGAUAUGAAAGAGCAUUUUACGUUAUUUUAUGGGCAGCUUAAUUACUUGCAAAGGCAAGCGGAUGACAAAC